CCUACGUGAGGCAGCAGUGAGGAAUAUUGGUCAAUGGGCGAGAGCCUGAACCCGCCAAGUCGCGUGAAGGAUGAAGGAUCUAUGGUUUGUAAACUUCUUUUAUAUGGGUAUAAAGUGAGGAACGUGUUCCUUUUUGUAUGUACCAUAUGAAUAAGCAUCGGCUAACUCCGUGCCAGCAGCCGCGGUACUACGGAGGAUGCGAGCGUUAUCCGGAUUUAUUGGGUUUAAAGGGUGCGUAGUUGGUUAAUUAAGUCAGCGGUGAAAGUUUGGGGCUCAACCAUAAAAUUGCCGUUGAAACUGGUUGAGUUGAGUAUAUGUGAGGUAGGCGGAAUGCGUGGUGUAGCGGUGAAAUGCAUAGAUAUCACGCAGAACUCCGAUUGGGAAGGCAGCUUACUAAACUAUAACUGACACUGAAGCACGAAGGCGUGGGGAUCAAACAGGAGUAGAUACCCGGGUAGUC
rnacentral:rRNA from 1 species